UGGGGAAUAUUGGACAAUGGGGGCAACCCUGAUCCAGCCAUGCCGCGUGUGUGAAGAAGGCCUUUUGGUUGUAAAGCACUUUUAAGCAGGGAGGAGAGGCUAAUGGUUAAUACCCAUUAGAUUAGACGUUACCUGCAGAAUAAGCACCGGCUAACUCUGUGCCAGCAGCCGCGGUAAUACAGAGGGUGCGAGCGUUAAUCGGAAUUACUGGGCGUAAAGCGAGUGUAGGUGGCUCAUUAAGUCACAUGUGAAAUCCCCGGGCUUAACCUGGGAACUGCAUGUGAUACUGGUGGUGCUAGAAUAUGUGAGAGGGAAGUAGAAUUCCAGGUGUAGCGGUGAAAUGCGUAGAGAUCUGGAGGAAUACCGAUGGCGAAGGCAGCUUCCUGGCAUAAUAUUGACACUGAGAUUCGAAAGCGUGGGUAGCAAACAGGAUUAGAUACCCUGGUAGUCCACGCCGUAAACGAUGUCUACUAGCCGUUGGGGUCCUUGAGACUUUAGUGGCGCAGUUAACGCGAUAAGUAGACCGCCU
rnacentral:rRNA from 1 species